GACAGAGGGUGCAAAACGUUGUUCGGAAUUACUGGGCGUAAAGCGCGUGUAGGCGGUCUCGCAAGUCGGAUGUGAAAGCCCAGGGCUCAACCCUGGAAGUGCACUCGAUACUGCGAGGCUAGAGUCCCGGAGAGGAUGGUGGAACUCUCGGUGUAGAGGUGAAAUUCGUAGAUAUCGAGAAGAACACCGGUGGCGAAGGCGGCCAUCCUGGACGGUGACUGACGCUGAGACGCGAAAGCGUGGGGGAGCAAACAGG
rnacentral:rRNA from 1 species